GACGAACGCUGGCGGCGUGCCUAAUACAUGCAAGUAGAACGCAGUUGCGAACGGGUGAGUAACGCGUAUGUCACUGGCUGGUAGCGGGGGAUAACUAUUGGAAACGAUAGCUAAUAACGCAUACUACCAGAUGGACCUGCGUUGUAUUAGCUAGUUGGUGAUGUAACGGCUCACCAAGGCAACGAUACAUAGCCGACCCGCGAGGGUGAUCCGCCACCCUUGGACUGAGACCCCGCCCAGACUCCUACAGGAGGCAACAGUAGGGAAUCUUCGGCAAUGGGGGGAAACCUGACCGAGCAACGCCGCGUGAGUGAAGGAGGUUUUCGGAUCGUAAAGCUCUGUUGUUAAGGAAGCGGUACUUAACCAGGAAGGGACGGCUAACUACGUGCCAGCAGCCGCGGUAAUAC
rnacentral:rRNA from 1 species